rnacentral:lncRNA from 1 species
CUCUACUUGUCACGGGGUCUCUGGUUCUGCUGUUGUAAUUAGGUGAUUUUUUUUCUUCAUGUAGCAAAAAAAGAGGUGGCUUAGUUCAAAUAAUUAUAACGUUCUGGAAGGCUUUUAUUCUUUUUUUCAUGUUUGCCCUCCUGCAACGUCUCUGAGGAUCAAGAAAAGUAAAAAAUAAUAUACAUGAAGCACAAAAGAACGUCAUGAUUACAUGUAUC